rnacentral:lncRNA from 9 species
GGGAAGCUGAGAGGAGGGGAUGGAAGAGGGAGAGAAUAAGGAAGCCGGAGUUCCCGCUGUGUUGCAAUGGAACCUGCGGCAUCUCUGCAGCAUCAGGACGCAGUUUCGAUCCCUGGCCAGUAUAGCGGGUUAAAGCAUCCGGUGUUGCCACAGCUGCAUCGGAGAACAACUGCGGCUCAGAUCUGAUCCCUGACCUGGGAAUUCCAUGGGCUGGGGGGCCAAAAAAUAAGAAAAGGAAGCAGGAGUUCCUGUCAUGGCUCAGUGGUUAACGAAUCCGACUAGGAACCAGGAGGUUGAGGGUUCGAUCCCUGGCCUUGCUCAGUGGGUUAAGGAUCUGGCAUUGCCGUGAGCUGUGGUGUAGGCUGCAGAUGCAGCUCGGAUCCCUUGUGCUGUGGCUCUGGUGUAGGCUGGCAGCUACAGCUCCGAUUCCAAUCCUAGCCUGGGAACCUCCAUAUGCCACGGGAGCGGCCCUAGAAAAGGCAAAAAGACAAAAAAAAAAAAAAAAAAAAAAAAGGAAGCAAGGAGAGAGGAAGAUGGGGAGGGGAGGAGGGACAAGGGGGAGGUGGAGGAGAGGGGAUGCUGGGGGUGUGAAAGAGGAAGGAAGAGGAAGAAAGAGGAAAGAAGAAGGCAACCCACAAAGGGAUGUCCAGGUUGAAAGGGGGGGGGGGGAGCGGCCACGGCGCCAAAGCGUCUGGGGAACCAGGGAAGUCCUGCAUCUCUUCCGGGCCUCUCCCUGGGGACGGAGGUCACCCCGCCAUCCUCUCCUCCAUGACUCUACCCCCGUCCCCUGCAGACCCCCAAGCUUCUCUACAGAGUGCGAAGUUAUCCUGACCCCUGUUUCCCCCGAGGGCCAGGACGGCCACUCCCCCGCUCGCCGCGCAUUCACUGACUCCAGAACCAUCUGUGGGGACUGUCGAGAGCAUAUGGCAUAUUGCGAAAAACAACAGAGAACACAGCAGCACCCCUGCCAGCAGUAAUUCUGAUCACUCAUCUCCAUGUGGCUGAGACCCGCUAUGGGGGGAAUGCGUGUGCGGUUCAGGCGCCCAGUUGCUGUAACACCAGAAGAGCAGGGGCCUUCUGGACAGACCCACCGGGGUCUCAUGUACAGGUUGCGCUUAGUCAGGCAGCUUCUGCAGGGGCCACGCAGGACCAAGGCAUCCAAACCCAAGGGAAGCCAGGAGCGGGCGCCGGCCUGCAGACUGGAGUGAAGAGUUAGAAAAAUGCCAGGAAAACAGUGCCUGAAAGGGGGGGGCGUGUUGCCUCAGCUUCCCCAGUCAAGGAGCAGUCAGGACCUGGUGAUUCCUACACAGAAGCUGGUUGAAGGUGGAUUUUCCACCUGCUAGAGAAUCCGCACUGCCCCAUCUCACCCAUGUUGGUGACAGGGCUGACCACCAGCUUACCUUUCCCAGAAAACAGUGCUGCUUUGAAGUCCUGGGCACAGACAUUUUUUCUAAUAAAUCACAUCAGAG